rnacentral:tRNA from 1 species
GCGCCUAUAGCUCAACUGGAUAGAGUACUUGACUACGAAUCAAGCGGUUAGAGGUUCGACUCCUCUUGGGCGCA